AUAUCUGUAGAGUUCUGUCACGUGGGGGGUUUGAGCUAUCACUGUGAGUGUGUUUGAGGGAAAUGUGUAGAGGAGCAGGUGAAAACGGUGUGUAAACCGCGUUGUUAAUAAGCGAGUAGGGUGAAGAUUUUUUUGUAACUUAAAACAGAGACGGUAAAGAUAGUGUGUGUGUGUAAGUGGAAGAACUAAGGCAUUCAAACCAGAGAGCUCGAGGACUUUAGGUUAAAGACUACUUUGUCUCUCUAUUGCAUCUUUUACAGAAUCCCCUUCCAUGUAAAACAUGUUUAACAGAACCUUCUUGAUUACCAACCAUUUAAAUAUUAGGCUCACGACGCUAUUUAAAUUAGUGCAAUCAUAAUUAGCCCUUUUUUUUUAAUUUAUAUUUUUGAAAUUGCUUCUAACAGAAAACAUCAAAUUUGACAGUGUUUAAAGUCAUACUUGUUUUUGAGUUAUUCAUCUUUGGAUUGCACUAUAUUAAAUCAAUUCAAACUGCUUAAUAUAACAACUAUAACAAACUCAGUAAUAAAGAGUGGGUUGCAAUUUCCAACACCUUCGAACUGAAAGAAAAAACGAUCACAGAUCCAAAUGUGAUAAACACUGACCUCGUUUACUCUUGGCUGGUUAGAUGGAUGAUUAUUAUAUGCAAAGCCUUAGGAUCACAUGGAAAGACAGACAAUUAUUAUAUGCAAGGAAAGUCAAUUAUAAGUAGAACCAUUUGACUCCGGCACAGACUGUGCCGUUCCUUUGCAAGAAAUUUGACCCGCAUGCUAUGCAAUCCUUUUUGCCUUGAUUAUAUAUGCAGCCAUGGAACUUAAAGUGGCCACACACUGACAUAUGUAGAUUUACUUCAUUUGAAAUCUCAGAAAUGUUGACAGAAGGUGAAGCCUGAUACCCCUCUGCUCGGCCAAGUAAAAGGCCGAACAUCUUUUAUCAUGAACACUGGCCUUUCACAAUAAUGCUCAUCCUGUUCUUGGCACAAUUAGGUGUCGCUGUCAUCCGUAAACGAUCCACGAAUCCUGUGACGAAACUUCCGGUCGGCGCCAAUCCUUCCUUCACUGUAAAACACACAAGGUCUGAAAAUAUAGGGAAUAUUUGAUAGACGGAAAAUAUCUAAACUAUAUUUUCAGGUCUAUAAACCCACAAUAUAUAAAACUUUUGAAUAGAAUUGAUCACAGAAAAGUUCCAAUGAGUAACUUGAGACAUACAGAAGAGCUUCUCAAAUAUGAAAAGCCUCUGUGCUUUUUAUGCUUUUAGAUUUCAGACAACCGACAAUGUACAAGCGUUUGAUGCCCCGUAACAUCAAGAUUAUUUAUACUUUUUCUUUAAUUUGCAUUAUGUGAACAAACCCAGUAAACUGAGUGUGAUCCGUUCCCUAACUUAAGACAAAUAACUACUAUAAUUCUAUAGCAUAAAUGUGAUUUUUUUUUUUUUUUUUAUUAAGUCACUCGGUUGGCCUUAUUUUUCUGGCAUUUGGAAUAUGCCCUUAUUCAACCUACAUUUAUCUCAUUUAUACAACUCAGCAGUACCUUCCAAGCUCAAUGUCUUAACCACUGCGUUACCACUAAUGCCACCACCACU